rnacentral:misc_RNA from 1 species
UGGUUCUGGCAUCGAUGAAGAACGCAGCGAAAUGCGAUAAGUAGUGUGAAUUGCAGAAUUCAGUGAAUCAUCGAAUCUUUGAACGCACAUUGCGCCCCUUGGUAUUCCAUGGGGCAUGCCUGUUCGAGCGUCAUUUGUACCUUCAAGCUUUGCUUGGUGAUGGGUGUUUGUCCAGUCCUUUGUGACUGGACUCGCCUUAAAACUAUUGGCAGCCGGCAUAUUGGCCUUUGGAGCGCAGCACAUUUUGCGAUCUAAGCCUGUAUACUGGUAUCCAUGAAGCCUUUUUAUCACUUUUGACCUCGGAUCAGGUAGGGAUACCCGCUGA